rnacentral:rRNA from 1 species
CGAUUCUGGCUCAGGAUGAACGCUAGCGAUAGGCCUAACACAUGCAAGUCGAGGGGCAGCAUAGAGUAGCAAUACUUUGAUGGCGACCGGCGCACGGGUGAGUAACACGUAUGCAACCUACCUACAGUCAGGGGAAUAACCCCGGAGAAAUUCGGACUAAUACCGCAUAAUACAGGGAUGCCGCAUGGCAAUAUUUGUUAAAGAUUUAUCGGAUGUAGAUGGGCAUGCGUUCCAUUAGCUGGUUGGUAAGGUAACGGCUUACCAAGGCAACGAUGGAUAGGGGAACUGAGAGGUUUGUCCCCCACACUGGAACUGAGACACGGACCAGACUCCUACGGGAGGCAGCAGUGAGGAAUAUUGGUCAAUGGACGAGAGUCUGAACCAGCCAAAUCGCGUGAAAAGGAAGACUGCCCUACGGGUUGUAAACUUCUUUUGUACAGGAAUAAAAGACAUUACGUGUAAUGUAUUGCAUGUACUGUACGAAUAAGCAUCGGCUAACUCCGUGCCAGCCGCCGC